UCUCUCUCUCUCUCUCUUUCUCUCUCUCUCUACCUUCCCUCCUAGGCUCCUACCUCCCUCUCUAUUCCUCUCUCCCUCAGCGAGCUGGGAUAUGAACGCUUUCCGCCGAGAACGCUCUCGAAAACCCUAAUCUCUAUCGAGAGAUUGGAAACCCUAAUUUAUUGCUCUCUCUCUCCCUCUCCGAUCUGGUGUUCUGUGAUACUAGGGCGAAAUCCCUGCUCGAUUCCGCCAUUGGAGCUCGCAAGGUCCGCCGGCCGGGUCUCCUGUCGCGUGGGAAAUGGAUGGGGGUGCGGGGACCUAUAAUUCGCGCACAGCGGAGGAGGUUUUCCGGGAUUUCAGAGGCCGGCGAGCUGGCAUGAUCAAAGCUCUCACCACUGAAGUUGACAAGUUCUAUCAGCACUGUGAUCCCGAAAAGGAGAACUUGUGUCUUUACGGACUCCCCAAUGAGACCUGGGAAGUAAAUUUGCCUGCUGAGGAAGUACCUCCAGAGCUUCCUGAGCCAGCAUUAGGAAUUAAUUUUGCCAGGGAUGGGAUGGAUGAAAAGGAUUGGCUGUCACUAGUUGCAGUUCACAGUGAUGCAUGGUUGCUGGCUGUUGCAUUCUAUUUUGGGGCUCGCUUUGGGUUUGACAAGGAGGCCAGGAGGCGACUUUUUAACAUGAUCAAUAAUCUCCCAACUAUAUAUGAGGUGGUGACUGGAACUGCUAAGAAGCAAUCAAAAGAAAAAACCCCUAACAGCAGCAGCAGGAGCAACAAAUCAAGCUCAAAGACGCAGUCACGGCAGGCAGAGUCAAAGGCCUUAAAAAUGCCUGCCCCAAAAGAGGAGGAAGAGAGUGGAGAGGAGGAUGAGGAAGAGGAGGAUGAGGAACGUGGAAACACUUUGUGCGGUGCAUGUGGAGACAACUAUGCGAAUGAUGAGUUUUGGAUAUGUUGCGAUGUUUGUGAGAGAUGGUUCCAUGGAAAGUGCGUCAGGAUCACACCUGCUAAGGCUGAGCACAUCAAGCAGUACAAAUGCCCGGCCUGCAGCAACAAAAGGGCUAGAGCAUGAAAGUGAACUGUUAUGGCUGAUGUAUUAGAACAGGGCUUCGGAAACAAGGGGGAAAACCAUUUUGGAUGCAACGAUCAAUGGACCUGCACGCCCAAGUCAGGCUUCCAGGUUUUAAACUUAGUGUAAUUAAUUUCUUUUUCAGUAUGUUACUGUUAACUAGUGGUGUCUCUCUGUGUAGAGUUCAUUUGUCAUGAGUAAUCCUUUUUGUGCUAGACAUGUCUUCUCUGAUAGAAUGCUUCGUUUGGCAGACUUCUACAUUGUUAGAAGAAACAGAAUUAGUUCUGCUGGAUGAAUCGUCUUCAGCCAUAUUAUGGCUCAUUACUUCUGGUCGAAUGGGUUCAAACAGGUCUUCAUCCAGUUAUUUGAUUUCAGUGCUCUUCUGUGCUGCUGGGCAUCUGAUCUGAGCCUACUAAUGCCAUUGUGCUUAGUGUUUUGCCAAAUACUUACAAUUCUAGAAGCAUGCCUGAGCUAUCCAGAUGACAUGACAUUCUAUGAUUCAAAUUUUGUAUCACCCUUUAUUCGUGGAAAGAAGAUUCAACUUGCUUUUGAUUUUGUCUAAGCAAUCCUGAUGAUUUUGGUUAUGUAAAUUAUUCGCUUUCAAAUAUGAAGGUUUGAUAUGCUCGAAAGCUUGCUCUGCUAUUGGAAAGCACUAAAAACCAGGAGGAUGGAAAUGAUCGAAGUAUAGUUUCUGCUUGGCAACAGCUUGGUGUUCAGACGAGGAGAUUUAGAGGAUGUCAAGAAAGCUUCUAUGUGGGGGAUCUACCAAGUUGCUUUCUCUAGGGGCAUCUUCACCUUUUUAAAAGGUCCUGUGCUCGAAAAGCUUUUGUAGAUUUCAGUUGCCUUAAUAACUUGAACAGAGGCCUACAAUCUAUAAGUAAGAGUGGUUGUGGUUCCCUCAAUGGUUUUUCUGCGGACUGUCUCAAGUAUUCUCUAUAUUAAUUACGUUGUAACAUUUAUAGAACCAUGCGAUAUUCAUUUUUAUGAGCUUUGUGAA